UACGUAGGGUGCAAGCGUUAAUCGGAAUUACUGGGCGUAAGGCGUACGCAGGCGGCUUUGCAAGACAGAUGUGAAAUCCCCGGGCUCAACCUGGGAACUGCAUUUGUGACUGCUUGGCUAGAGUACGGUAGAGGGGGAUGGAAUUCCGCGUGUAGCAGUGAAAUGCGUAGAUAUGCGGAGGAACACCGAUGGCGAAGGCAAUCACCUGGACCUGUACUGACGCUCAUGAACAAAAGCGUGGGGAGCAAACAGG
rnacentral:rRNA from 1 species